rnacentral:rRNA from 1 species
GCGCACGGGUGCGUAACGCGUAUGCAACCUACCUUUUACAGAGGGAUAGCCCAGAGAAAUUUGGAUUAAUACCUCAUAGUAUAUAGUCUUCGCAUGUUGACUAUAUUAAAGUUCCAACGGUAAAAGAUGGGCAUGCGUCCUAUUAGCUAGAUGGUAAGGUAACGGCUUACCAUGGCAACGAUAGGUAGGGGUCCUGAGAGGGAGAUCCCCCACACUGGUACUGAGACACGGACCAGACUCCUACGGGAGGCAGCAGUGAGGAAUAUUGGACAAUGGGCGCAAGCCUGAUCCAGCCAUGCCGCGUGCAGGAAGAAGCAUCUAUGGUGUGUAAACUGCUUUUGUACAGGAAGAAACACCCCGACGUGUCGGGACUUGACGGUACUGUAAGAAUAAGGAUCGGCUAACUCCGUGCCAGCAGCCGCGGUAAUACGGAGGAUCCAAGCGUUAUCCGGAAUCAUUGGGUUUAAAGGGUCCGUAGGCGGUUUGGUAAGUCAGUGGUGAAAGCCCGCAGCUCAACUGUGGAACGGCCAUUGAUACUGCCAGACUUGAAUUACAAGGAAGUAACUAGAAUAUGUAGUGUAGCGGUGAAAUGCUUAGAUAUUACAUGGAAUACCAAUUGCGAAGGCAGGUUACUACUUGUGGAUUGACGCUGAUGGACGAAAGCGUGGGGAGCGAACAGGAUUAGAUACCCUGGUAGUCCACGCCGUAAACGAUGGAUACUAGCUGUUGGGGGCAACUUCAGUGGCUAAGCGAAAGUGAUAAGUAUCCCACCUGGGGAGUACGUUCGCAAGAAUGAAACUCAAAGGAAUUGACGGGGGCCCGCACAAGCGGUGGAGCAUGUGGUUUAAUUC